AGUUGCUUCAUUCAAAGGCGAAGUCACUCUGCACCACAUGAGCAGGAACUAUUCAGCUUAGGAGUGACCCAGGAAGACGACAUACAGUGAAUUUCGGAGCUGAGGAACAGUUAUCUAAAAGACUCAGGAUGGCUGAUUGCGUCUGCAUCAUGUGGUCCAUAUUCUGGCUGCUUGUGUUGAUUUUCCUUGCCUGGCCCAUCAGUAUUUUCCUAGGCGGCCUUUACGGGUUUGUUGCUCCACUUACAACCUGUGUGGGACUAGACCAAGUGACCGAACUGCUCCUCCAGGGUGUGAACCUUGGAAGAACCUGUGCCCAGAAUGUGCGAGUGGGAAAAUCCCUCUGCUGAAGGAGCCGACCACCACAGAGCAGCAGCGCAUCUCUUCCACCGGAAAGUCUUUUCACCGAACAGACAUUUAAGCACAAGUUGACUCCGCGAUGACAAGUUCUAAAUUUCCAAGCUGUUUUCAAAUUUUUGGCUGCUAGGGCUGCUCGAUGAAUUCAGAACGAAGCCAAGACAACAGCUACGAUAUUAUUCCCGGCUAGUUUUCCCAAGAGUGACACACCUUGCGUUUUCAACCUCUAUUAAGUUUUUUCUACGGUUAAAAUAAAAUGCUAAAAAGAGCUCAAGGCAGUUUGUCAACCUUAUUUUUAAUGUGUGGGUAUAAUCCUUUGUAAACAGGAAGUUGUAGUAUCAAGCAGCCAAUACUGAUAUAUCAGCUUGACUAAAUUGCAAAGAGCUAUUUACAGAUACUAUGUAUGUUUUUGUAUUCAAAAAUGUGCUUGCAGCCUCAUAAGAGAUGAUACAAUAGCUAUUUUAUCAACACCGGUUAAUCCAAGAUAACUUUCAUUUCUAUUAUGAUUGUAUAGUAUAAAAUAGAUUUUGAGUCUGUAUUAACAGGUUAAAGUUUUUUUUUGUAUUAUGUAUGAUUUAUAAUACUAUCCUUAUACAUUAUCAGUGUUAUACUAUGCCACCAUUGGGUACAAAACGGACUCUUGCUAUCCCAAAAACAUCACAAAAAAUAGAUUUUUAGACUGCAUUUAAAGUUAUACUUUUUCCGUUAAGGUUAUUUUUGAGCUUUAAAAGUUAUUUAAAAGCUUUAGCAUUUUCUCCACUGCCGGUAACAUUUGUGCUGUGAUUUUAUGAUGCACUGUACACAAUUUCUGUAUUUUAUAAGAAAUUAUAUGACACUAAAAUGCAACCAGGCUUGGUUUAAAAAAUUGCACAAUAGCAGUUUUCACAAGCACUACAUUGAGGUGGGUCAUGGGUUCAUUCAGUUCUUCACUGGGCCAGAAAAGGUUGGCGGGUGUGUCUGUUCCUCUAUUCUGUAUCCAGUACCAUCUGUUAAUUUUAAGUGUUGCAAAUUUAAUUUAUUGCACACAGCAUUGCAUGUGAUCUGCCUAGAUGUCAUUUCUGACUAAUUAUCAUAUUAAACAUGUGCUUAACAUCUGGGAAUAUGC